ACAGGGCAGAAAAGGAUGUGCGUUACUAGCUUGGGACUGCCACCUGCUGCUGGCGGCUGGGAAGCACAAUUCUAGGGUCCCUGCUGGACAAGAGGAAUCAGUCCUGGGAGGUGGUGACACAGCAAAUGGAGCCCAUGCUGCUGUAUCCCACGGGUUAUGGCAUUUCAUGUUUCUAUUCUCAUUUGAUUCUAUUAGUUUUUCAAUUCUACCCCCAAUUUCUUCAACAACCGUUUUUCCAAAGUAUACUAUUCAGUGAUCCUGUGUUUGUUCUGUGGAUUCUCUUGCUGAUUUCUAGUUUAAUCCCAUUAUAUCUGAUAAAAUACAAGAGACGUUUCUUAGAUUAUUACAUUUGCACCUAUGGGGGAAUAUGCAGGUGUGUAUGUGUGUCCAUGGAGACCACAGGGAGACAUCAUGUGCCCUUGUUGUGAGCUGUCUAACAUGGGUGCUGGAAAACAAACGCUGGUCCUCUCCAAGAGCAGUGUAUGCUCUUAACUACCGAGUCAUCUUUCCAGGCCCAUGGCAGCAAGGAACUUCUAAAUGUUUUGUUGUUAAAUGCUUGUUUUAUGACCUAGUCUAUUGUGUGGGAAAAUGCCCAUGAUCUGAUUAAAACAGAGAGUUAUGUAA
rnacentral:lncRNA from 1 species